rnacentral:rRNA from 1 species
UACGUAGGGUGCAAGCGUUAAUCGGAAUUACUGGGCGUAAAGCGUGCGCAGGCGGUUUUGUAAGUCUGUCGUGAAAUCCCCGGGCUUAACCUGGGAAUGGCAUUUGUGACUGCACGGCUAGAGUGUGUCGAGAGGGGGGUAGAAUUCCACGUGUAGCAGUGAAAUGCGUAGAUAUGUGGAGGAAUACCGAUGGCGAAGGCCAGCCCCCUGGGAUAACACUGACGCUCAUGCACGAAAGCGUGGGGAGCAAACAGG